GACGAACGCUGGCGGCGUGCUUAACACAUGCAAGUCGUACGGUAAGGCCCUUUCGGGGGUACUCGAGUGUCGAACGGGUGCGUAACACGUGCGUAACCUGCCCACAACUUUGGGAUAACGCUAGGAAACUGGUGCUAAUACUGGAUAUGUGCUCCUGCUGCAUGGUGGGGGUUGGAAAGCUCCGGCGGUUGUGGCUGGACUCGCGGCCUAUCAGCUUGUUGGUGGGGUAGUGGCCUACCAAGGCGGCGACGGGUAGCCGGCCUGAGAGGGUGACCGGCCACAAUGGGACUGAGAUACGGCCCAGACUGCUAAGGGAGGCAGCAGUGGGGAAGAUUGAACAAGGGGCGCAAGCCUGAUGCAGCAACGCCGCGGGCGGGAUGACGGCGUUCGGGUUGUAAAACGCUUUCAGCAGGGACGAAGCAUUUUGUGACGGUACCUGCAGAAGAAGCACCGGCUAACUACGUG
rnacentral:rRNA from 1 species